UAUGUGUUUCAACUCUUUGACUACUAUGCAGCUAGUGGUGUAUGCCUCUUGUGGGUUGCAUUCUUUGAAUGCAUUGCUGUAGCCUGGGUUUAUGGCGCUGAUAAUAUUUACGAUGCCAUCGAAGAUAUGAUUGGUUAUAGGCCUGGUCCAUGGAUGAAAUGGAGCUGGAUGAUAAUCACACCAGUUCUUUGCAUGGGAUGCUUUAUCUUUUCUCUGGCCAAGUAUACACCAUUGACCUACAACAAGGUGUACAUAUAUCCUGACUGGGCAAUUGGCCUAGGCUGGGGUCUUGCUCUCUCUUCUAUGAUCUGCAUCCCUCUAGUUAUGGUCAUUCGCAUAAUACAGUCGGAUGGGUCUCUC